ACUUGAAUUCUGACCGCCAUAAAUGGCGAAUCGUACGCGAGAAGUGCUGACGCCGUCUUGCGCCGAUGUCCAAUAGGACCUUGCACUUUGCCGAUGUUGCAACAGUAAUAGUUUCCAUCAAGGUUAUGCGGACUAGUGCCACGCGAUUGGGUCAAGCCGUUGGCUUCCGCCUUUCUUAUCAAAAUCUUCGCCCUCAAUUACCUAAUUUUGUGGUUUUUUU
ensembl:ncRNA T14F9.18 ncRNA